GUCGGAGUGGCGGAACUGGCAGACGCGCACGUUUGAGGGGCGUGUGUCUAUGACAUGCGGGUUCAAGUCCCGCCUCCGACACCA
rnacentral:tRNA from 1 species